GAUCAUGGCUCAGGAUGAACGCUGGCGGCGUGCUUAACACAUGCAAGUCGAACGGUAAGGUCCCUUCGGGGAUACACGAGUGGCGAACGGGUGAGUAACACGUGGGCAACCUGCCCCUUGCUUCGGGACAACUCCGGGAAACCGGGGCUAAUACCGGAUACUCCGCGAAGAUCGCAUGGUCAUCGCGGGAAAGCUCCGGCGGCGAGGGAUGGGCCCGCGGCCCAUUAGCUUGUUGGUGAGGUAACGGCUCACCAAGGCCGCGAUGGGUAGCCGAGCUGAGAGGCUGAUCGGCCACACUGGGACUGAGACACGGCCCAGACUCCUACGGGAGGCAGCAGUGGGGAAUCUUGCGCAAUGGGCGAAAGCCUGACGCAGCCAACGCCGCGUGCGGGAUGAAGGCUCUCGGGUCGUAAACCGCUUUCAGCAGGGACGAAAACAGACUGUACCUGCAGAAGAAGCCCCGGCUAAAUACGUGCCAGCAGCUGC
rnacentral:rRNA from 1 species